rnacentral:tRNA from 1 species
GGUAUUAUAGCUUAGUGGUAGAGUACAUGCUUAGCUUGCAUGAGGUCCUGGGUUUAAUUCCCAGUACCUCCA